AGAGUUUAUGAAAAUUAGGCAAGAGAAUUCAGCAGAGGAAUAUCAAGAUAGAUUUGAAGAUUUGAGAAUUAGAUUGGAGAGGUUGUUACCUGAAUUGAAUGAGGCCUAUUGUCUGUCAGUGUUCACUGGGGGUUUGAGGGAUGAUGUGAGACCCACGGUCAGGAUUAUGAGACCUGUCAGUUAAACUCAUGCCUUUGAAAUAGCAAAAUGUCAAGAACAACUUCUGGGGUAUGAUAAGAAAAAUGGCCCUAGUUUUAAAUCCUUCUCAAGUACUUCCCAUACCAGUAGACAAAUUCCUAUUGCUACUACUUACAAGACUUCCCAAUUACACCAAAACUUUCCUAAUUCACCAAAAACACCUAAUGUUGAUACCAGUACCAAACCAGCCGCAGUAACUAAACCCACUACUUCCACCACCAACUCUAAUUCUGCAAACCAACCUCCUUUGCUUAAAAAUCCACCUUCUUCAAACAAAACAAGUACCAAAAGAGGGGGAAGAAA
rnacentral:misc_RNA from 1 species